CACAGUACCUGGACCGGGCAGAGGAGUGGAAUCCAAAGAUAAAGUUAGGAGAACGUACUUCAAGGGGAAAUUUGUCCUUUCACUUGUGGUAUCAUAGUCUUUCAUGGAUCCCAUGCUGUUGUCUGUUUAUUUCUCCUUAAACAAGGAAAAAUAUACCCAGACCCAGUUUUCAUCAACAGACCAGACCACUACGGGCAACUCUCCAUCUAUCCCUCCUGAUUCCUUUAUGGACAACUCUCCAUCUAUUCCACCUGAUUCCUCUAUGGACAACUCUCCAUCUAUUCCGCCUGAUUCCUCCAUGGGCAACUGUCCAUGUAUUCCACCUGACUCCCAGCUAGGCUGCAUCCUCCACCAUUGGAAUCAAUUUGACCCUGACAACCUAAAAAGAAAACUGUGAUGAUUAAUACUGAGUGUCAACUUGAUUGGAUAGAAGGAUGCAAAGUAUUGAUCCUGGAUGUGUCUGUGAGGGUAUUGCCAAAGGAGAUUAACAUUUGAGUCAGUGGGCUGGGAAAGGCAGACCCACUCUUAAUCUGGGUGGGCACCAUCUAAUUAGCUGCCAGCAUGGCUAGAAUAUAAAGCAGGCAGAAAAACAUGAAAAAACUAGAUUGGCCUAGCCUCCCGGCAUACAUCUUUCUCCUGUGCUGGAUGAUUCCUGCCUUUGAACAUCGGACUCCAAGUUCUUCAGUUUUGGGACUCACACUGGCUUUCCUUGUUCUUCAGCUUGCAGACAGUCUAUUGUGGGAUGUGGUGAUCGUGUGAGUUAAUACUACUUAAUAAACUCAUACGUAUAAUAUAUAUCAUAUAUAUGAUAUAUAUGAUAUAUAUAUCAUAUAUAUGAUAUAUAUAUGAUAUAUAUAUAUCAUAUAUAUAUCAUAUAUAUAUAUUCUAUUCAGUCCCUCUACAGAGCCCUGACUAAUACAGAUUUUGGUACCAGGAGUGGUUCUAGAAGAGCAGAAUAUUAAGGCUGGAGUUCUUUCAUUGGUUUUGGGGUUUCUGGAGUUGGCUGCUUAAUAUGAUUAGACCCAAAAAUGCUAAGGACUCUACUUCUAAUAGUAUAGAGAACACUAAUAGUCCUUGGCAUAAACCAUUUAGAGAGUUAUGCAAAAUAAAUGCAUUUGAAAAUCCUGGUUCACUGCUCAUGAGAAGCAAGGAAUUUAGCAACUCUGUACAUAAUACCUUUGAUCGUAUGUGGAAAACCAAGGAACAUAAUAAAGCUGGUC
rnacentral:lncRNA from 1 species